UGCCUGAUGGUGAAAUGGUAGACACGCGAGACUCAAAAUCUCGUGCUGAAGAGCGUGGAGGUUCGAGUCCUCUCAAGGCAU
rnacentral:tRNA from 1 species